rnacentral:ncRNA from 1 species
AUUUGAAAAAGGCAAAUCUAUUGAAAGAUAGAGACGCAAAGUUACAGAUCUAAGGGUUAACUAUGAUGGCUGGGCUACCAAA